AUAAAAAUAAUGGAAUUAGGUGCUACGGCUUAAUAGAGGAAGUCAGGUGAAAGACCUACACAGCGCCCCGCUACUGUAAGACGGAUGCCUCAUCAUAUCCACUGGUUUUUUACCGGGAAGGGAUGACAAGCAGAAGAAGUCGAGUCAGGAGACUUACCUAAUUUUAGUUUUCUUUU
rnacentral:ncRNA from 25 species